AUUGAACGCUGGCGGCAGGCCUAACACAUGCAAGUCGAGCGAGCGGCGGACGGGUGAGUAAUGUCUGGGAAACUGCCUGAUGGAGGGGGAUAACUACUGGAAACGGUAGCUAAUACCGCAUACCAUCAGAUGUGCCCAGCUGGGAUUAGCUAGUAGGUGUGGUAAAGGCUCACCUAGGCGACGAUCCCUAGCUGGUCUGAGAGGAUGACCAGCCACCCUGGAACUGAGACACGGUCCAGACUCCGACGGGAGGCAGCAGUGGGGAAUAUUGCACAAUGGGCGCAAGCCUGAUGCAGCCAUGCCGCGUGUGUGAAGAAGGCCUUCGGGUUGUAAAGUACUUUCAGCGGGGAGGCGUUACUCGCAGAAGAAGCACCGGCUAACUCCGUGCCAGCAGCCGCGGUAAUAC
rnacentral:rRNA from 1 species